rnacentral:rRNA from 1 species
GGUUAAGCGACUAAGCGUACACGGUGGAUGCCCUGGCAGUCAGAGGCGAUGAAGGACGUGCUAAUCUGCGAUAAGCGUCGGUAAGGUGAUAUGAACCGUUAUAACCGGCGAUUUCCGAAUGGGGAAACCCAGUGUGAUUCGUCACACUAUCAUUAACUGAAUCCAUAGGUUAAUGAGGCGAACCGGGGGAACUGAAACAUCUAAGUACCCCGAGGAAAAGAAAUCAACCGAGAUUCCCCCAGUAGCGGCGAGCGAACGGGGAGCAGCCCAGAGCCUGAAUCAGUGUGUGUGUUAGUGGAAGCGUCUGGAAAGGCGCGCGAUACAGGGUGACAGCCCCGUACACAAAAAUGCACAUACUGUGAGCUCGAUGAGUAGGGCGGGACACGUGGUAUCCUGUCUGAAUAUGGGGGGACCAUCCUCCAAGGCUAAAUACUCCUGACUGACCGAUAGUGAACCAGUACCGUGAGGGAAAGGCGAAAAGAACCCCGGCGAGGGGAGUGAAAAAGAACCUGAAACCGUGUACGUACAAGCAGUGGGAGCACAGAGCAAUCUGUGUGACUGCGUACCUUUUGUAUAAUGGGUCAGCGACUUAUAUUCUGUAGCAAGGUUAACCGAAUAGGGGAGCCGAAGGGAAACCGAGUCUUAACUGGGCGUUAAGUUGCAGGGUAUAGACCCGAAACCCGGUGAUCUAGCCAUGGGCAGGUUGAAGGUUGGGUAACACUAACUGGAGGACCGAACCGACUAAUGUUGAAAAAUUAGCGGAUGACUUGUGGCUGGGGGUGAAAGGCCAAUCAAACCGGGAGAUAGCUGGUUCUCCCCGAAAGCUAUUUAGGUAGCGCCUCGUGAAUUCAUCUCCGGGGGUAGAGCACUGUUUCGGCAAGGGGGUCAUCCCGACUUACCAACCCGAUGCAAACUGCGAAUACCGGAGAAUGUUAUCACGGGAGACACACGGCGGGUGCUAACGUCCGUCGUGAAGAGGGAAACAACCCAGACCGCCAGCUAAGGUCCCAAAGUCAUGGUUAAGUGGGAAACGAUGUGGGAAGGCCCAGACAGCCAGGAUGUUGGCUUAGAAGCAGCCAUCAUUUAAAGAAAGCGUAAUAGCUCACUGGUCGAGUCGGCCUGCGCGGAAGAUGUAACGGGGCUAAACCAUGCACCGAAGCUGCGGCAGCGACGCUUAUGCGUUGUUGGGUAGGGGAGCGUUCUGUAAGCCUGCGAAGGUGUGCUGUGAGGCAUGCUGGAGGUAUCAGAAGUGCGAAUGCUGACAUAAGUAACGAUAAAGCGGGUGAAAAGCCCGCUCGCCGGAAGACCAAGGGUUCCUGUCCAACGUUAAUCGGGGCAGGGUGAGUCGACCCCUAAGGCGAGGCCGAAAGGCGUAGUCGAUGGGAAACAGGUUAAUAUUCCUGUACUUGGUGUUACUGCGAAGGGGGGACGGAGAAGGCUAUGUUGGCCGGGCGACGGUUGUCCCGGUUUAAGCGUGUAGGCUGGUUUUCCAGGCAAAUCCGGAAAAUCAAGGCUGAGGCGUGAUGACGAGGCACUACGGUGCUGAAGCAACAAAUGCCCUGCUUCCAGGAAAAGCCUCUAAGCAUCAGGUAACAUCAAAUCGUACCCCAAACCGACACAGGUGGUCAGGUAGAGAAUACCAAGGCGCUUGAGAGAACUCGGGUGAAGGAACUAGGCAAAAUGGUGCCGUAACUUCGGGAGAAGGCACGCUGAUAUGUAGGUGAAGUCCCUCGCGGAUGGAGCUGAAAUCAGUCGAAGAUACCAGCUGGCUGCAACUGUUUAUUAAAAACACAGCACUGUGCAAACACGAAAGUGGACGUAUACGGUGUGACGCCUGCCCGGUGCCGGAAGGUUAAUUGAUGGGGUCAGCGCAAGCGAAGCUCUUGAUCGAAGCCCCGGUAAACGGCGGCCGUAACUAUAACGGUCCUAAGGUAGCGAAAUUCCUUGUCGGGUAAGUUCCGACCUGCACGAAUGGCGUAAUGAUGGCCAGGCUGUCUCCACCCGAGACUCAGUGAAAUUGAACUCGCUGUGAAGAUGCAGUGUACCCGCGGCAAGACGGAAAGACCCCGUGAACCUUUACUAUAGCUUGACACUGAACAUUGAGCCUUGAUGUGUAGGAUAGGUGGGAGGCUUUGAAGUGUGGACGCCAGUCUGCAUGGAGCCGACCUUGAAAUACCACCCUUUAAUGUUUGAUGUUCUAACGUUGACCCGUAAUCCGGGUUGCGGACAGUGUCUGGUGGGUAGUUUGACUGGGGCGGUCUCCUCCUAAAGAGUAACGGAGGAGCACGAAGGUUGGCUAAUCCUGGUCGGACAUCAGGAGGUUAGUGCAAUGGCAUAAGCCAGCUUGACUGCGAGCGUGACGGCGCGAGCAGGUGCGAAAGCAGGUCAUAGUGAUCCGGUGGUUCUGAAUGGAAGGGCCAUCGCUCAACGGAUAAAAGGUACUCCGGGGAUAACAGGCUGAUACCGCCCAAGAGUUCAUAUCGACGGCGGUGUUUGGCACCUCGAUGUCGGCUCAUCACAUCCUGGGGCUGAAGUAGGUCCCAAGGGUAUGGCUGUUCGCCAUUUAAAGUGGUACGCGAGCUGGGUUUAGAACGUCGUGAGACAGUUCGGUCCCUAUCUGCCGUGGGCGCUGGAGAACUGAGGGGGGCUGCUCCUAGUACGAGAGGACCGGAGUGGACGCAUCACUGGUGUUCGGGUUGUCAUGCCAAUGGCACUGCCCGGUAGCUAAAUGCGGAAGAGAUAAGUGCUGAAAGCAUCUAAGCACGAAACUUGCCCCGAGAUGAGUUCUCCCUGACUCCUUGAGAGUCCUGAAGGAACGUUGAAGACGACGACGUUGAUAGGCCGGGUGUGUAAGCGCAGCGAUGCGUUGAGCUAACCGGUACUAAUGAACCGUGAGGCUUAACCUU